GACGAACGCUGGCGGCGUGCCUAAUACAUGCAAGUAGAACGCUGAAGGAGGAGCUUGCUUCUCCGGAUGAGUUGCGAACGGGUGAGUAACGCGUAGGUAACCUGCCUGGUAGCGGGGGAUAACUAUUGGAAACGAUAGCUAAUACCACAUAACAGUAGAUGUUGCAUGACAUUUGCUUAAAAGGUGCAAUUGCAUCACUACCAGAUGGACCUGCGUUGUAUUAGCUAGUUGGUGAGGUAACGGCUCACCAAGGCGACGAUACAUAGCCGACCUGAGAGGGUGAUCGGCCACACUGGGACUGAGACACGGCCCAGACUCCUACGGGAGGCAGCAGUAGGGAAUCUUCGGCAAUGGACGGAAGUCUGACCGAGCAACGCCGCGUGAGUGAAGAAGGUUUUCGGAUCGUAAAGCUCUGUUGUAAGAGAAGAACGAGUGUGAGAGUGGAAAGUUCACACUGUGACGGUAUCUUACCAGAAAGGGACGGCUAACUACGUG
rnacentral:rRNA from 1 species